CAAAUAUUUUAAAAGUGAACUUCUGUGGUGGACCCUGACCAUUUUGACACAAUCCUAAAUAUGCACUUAUGCACAGGAUUGCAUUUAAGAAUCUCCUGGCCAUAUCUUCAGUUGUUACGGCAGCAACAUUCUGUGUAACAGGCUUGAAGACUUGUAUGCAUGCAUGACCAUCACAAACUAUCACAUUACAAUCCGUGAGUGAGACAAAUUUGUCAAAGGCUGAAAGUCCUUCAAGGUAUGGCAUCAUAUCAGCUUUCCCCGAUGAAUGCAUCUUCCCGUGUACAGUAAACAUAAUGAACAGAACUGGUACGUUUUCAUAGAACAUGAUUCUUACUAGUGGUACCUUUCAUCGUGCAUUCGCUACAAGGAGAUGAAGGCAGGCAUAUGUGUUGUAGAAGAAGAGGAACAUUAACAAGACAACAGUGUUAGUGUCAUCGAGUUAACUCAGUGACUACACGAUGUUGCAGUUAACCAAAAAGUUACAAGAGGGGAUAUCUCUUGUAAAUGCCACAGAUAUCAGCAAAGUCAAUGGAGUGAUGGGACGUGUUUGUGUUGCCCUCAGCUCUGGACGCUCACAGGUGUUUACUGAAGAAGAAGAGGAGAAACUUAGUGUAUCGCUGGGUCACACCCGGGACCAGACCAGGCAGCUCAUCCACACUAUCCUGCACAUCAUUCAGCAAGCUGCACAUGGAGUAAACGUCCAGCUGUCCUAGGGGAACACGCUGCUGGCAUUACUCAUGAUAGAGUUGAGAUCUUCACUGAACAUUGGACAACAAAUGCCAAGCCCAUUGUUGAUAAGCUUCGACAGCAGAGCCUUUCAGAAAAACAGCUCGAAGAUGUUGGAGAACUGCACCUUCAGACAGCUUCCUCAUGUAUGGCUCGGCAGUCACACCCUAUAGCUCACCUGCAGCUUAAUCUGAGCUCUCGUAGUGAUGCAGGAAAACUAGCAAGCACAGAGAAAGUGGUGAUGCAGUUUGAUCGUGACCAGCUGUACAACCUUUAUGAUCAGCUGGAGCAAAUACAGUCACACCUCGAUGCUCUAAGAUAAAGUAGAGGAAUUUAAUGGUUUAAUAUUUAUGUUUGGCUACAAAUUAUAUUGCAGCCUCAUGUAUUUUAAAUGUACAAUUUAAGUGUGGUAACCA